CUUCAGCAAUCUGUUGGCCCAAUCUUGAUGCUUCAACCUGUGAAUCAUGUUUCAGCCUUCUUUACCAUGUCCAUGUCUCUGAGCACUUGACACCUUGUACUUGUGGGUACUCCAGUUAGGUUGCAGUUUGGGAACCUGGUAACUGGAGGAAGAUGUGUUCCCGGUAGCUUCGUGUUUAAUUCUUCUCAAGUGUUUUGCAGUUCAUUCGCACCGCCACCUUCUGCAUUUAUUUGCGACCCCGUUGACUAUUCGCAACGAAACAUUUGAUUGUCCGGUGGUCACGCUUCAGUAGUUAAGCUGUUUCAAGAGUGCUGCAUCUGUCUGAAAGGUAUUUUACAAUUUUUGGCAUUUACAAUUUUACCUGAGGUAAUGACGCUGCCUAAUAAUCAUGCAUACCUCAUUAUAAGGUGUUAAUCACUUUAGGCCACAGCUUUUCUCAUUACACAAAUAUAUAUCAGCUGACAAUGAUUAAAUCCAAUGAGCGUUCGAGGUUUGGAGUUGGAAAAUGUGCGUAGAAAUAAUAAAAAUAUAUAUAUAUCACUUGCUUAAUAAUUGUGCACACAGUUUAAUUUGGUGAUAUUAGACAAUGUGCUAGCUGACUAGAUGGGAGAGUCUGACAGACGAACAGAAAAGGAUUAUCUGUCCACUGUUAACUACUUUUUACACACCGUGACUGGAUAAACGCCCACAAAUUCUAACAUGCUACACUGAGUUUAUAUUGUGGCCAGCAUCCAGACUAGCUAGCCUUUGAGUCAAAUUCUUUUCUUCUACAAUGUGUGUUGUAGCAAUUGACUACCUCGUCCCAUUCCAUGUGCCAAAAAAACCUCUAAAGAGACGCAACUAGGGUGCAGAUUCUUGAGUUUCCUACACUGUCUAUAGUAUAAACCCAGCAUCCAUGCUGAGUGAAAUAAUUUCGGACACUAUUAUUUUUUUGGUUCUUACUCAAAGCUCAUAGCUGAGGGUUGAAACCUUCAGCUCUUCUCUACAAAAGUUUGGUGUAACCCCUCUGACAAUCUCAGGAUCCACCUUCCCCUCACUUGUGAACAAGACCCUGAGAUACUACAUCUCCUUCGCUUGGGACAGUGACUCUCUCCUAACCCGCACUGAGCAAAACACCAUUUUUCGGCAAAGUACCAUGGACUCACUUCGUCACACUAUCCACCAGUCUGGCUGCUUUGAGAGAAUCUAUCCAUAAAAACCAAUCACAAACAGGAUGGGUGACAAGGAGCAACCCUGACCGAGCUCAAUGCCUUCUCCUGCAAAUAUGAUCUAAAUACAUCAGGAAAAGUAUCUGCCACUGUUGAUUUACCCUUCAGCAAGACAGCUAAAGGUGUCUCCACACCUGGUCCAAACUUACAUGCAGGGUAUUUGCACAAAACCAAGAAGCCGUGGAGCAUGCUCUGUGCAGGCUGGCUACAUUUGGGCUCUACGGGACGCCGUUGUUGGAUGGCGAGGCCGGGCGUCGCUCACGUGUCGCUGCUCACCAAGGAGCAGCUGCUGUGUGGGCGAGGAGGAUGGAAAAAGGAGACAAGCUGAGGUCUCCUGCAGGCACGCAGCAGGGAUUCACCUUCCUGACACUUCACAGGGAGCUUUUCUUAUACUGACACUAUGAAAGGAGGAAGGCACUGACGCACACACACCUGGGAGCUGCUUGGUAUGAUUUAUGCUAUUGGACACAAACAAACAA